rnacentral:rRNA from 2 species
UGAUCAUGGCUCAGGACGAACGCUGGCGGCGUGCCUAAUACAUGCAAGUCGAACGAACUCUGGUAUUGAUUGGUGCUUGCAUCAUGAUUUACAUUUGAGUGAGUGGCGAACUGGUGAGUAACACGUGGGAAACCUGCCCAGAAGCGGGGGAUAACACCUGGAAACAGAUGCUAAUACCGCAUAACAACUUGGACCGCAUGGUCCGAGCUUGAAAGAUGGCUUCGGCUAUCACUUUUGGAUGGUCCCGCGGCGUAUUAGCUAGAUGGUGGGGUAACGGCUCACCAUGGCAAUGAUACGUAGCCGACCUGAGAGGGUAAUCGGCCACAUUGGGACUGAGACACGGCCCAAACUCCUACGGGAGGCAGCAGUAGGGAAUCUUCCACAAUGGACGAAAGUCUGAUGGAGCAACGCCGCGUGAGUGAAGAAGGGUUUCGGCUCGUAAAACUCUGUUGUUAAAGAAGAACAUAUCUGAGAGUAACUGUUCAGGUAUUGACGGUAUUUAACCAGAAAGCCACGGCUAACUACGUGCCAGCAGCCGCGGUAAUACGUAGGUGGCAAGCGUUGUCCGGAUUUAUUGGGCGUAAAGCGAGCGCAGGCGGUUUUUUAAGUCUGAUGUGAAAGCCUUCGGCUCAACCGAAGAAGUGCAUCGGAAACUGGGAAACUUGAGUGCAGAAGAGGACAGUGGAACUCCAUGUGUAGCGGUGAAAUGCGUAGAUAUAUGGAAGAACACCAGUGGCGAAGGCGGCUGUCUGGUCUGUAACUGACGCUGAGGCUCGAAAGUAUGGGUAGCAAACAGGAUUAGAUACCCUGGUAGUCCAUACCGUAAACGAUGAAUGCUAAGUGUUGGAGGGUUUCCGCCCUUCAGUGCUGCAGCUAACGCAUUAAGCAUUCCGCCUGGGGAGUACGGCCGCAAGGCUGAAACUCAAAGGAAUUGACGGGGGCCCGCACAAGCGGUGGAGCAUGUGGUUUAAUUCGAAGCUACGCGAAGAACCUUACCAGGUCUUGACAUACUAUGCAAAUCUAAGAGAUUAGACGUUCCCUUCGGGGACAUGGAUACAGGUGGUGCAUGGUUGUCGUCAGCUCGUGUCGUGAGAUGUUGGGUUAAGUCCCGCAACGAGCGCAACCCUUAUUAUCAGUUGCCAGCAUUAAGUUGGGCACUCUGGUGAGACUGCCGGUGACAAACCGGAGGAAGGUGGGGAUGACGUCAAAUCAUCAUGCCCCUUAUGACCUGGGCUACACACGUGCUACAAUGGAUGGUACAACGAGUUGCGAACUCGCGAGAGUAAGCUAAUCUCUUAAAGCCAUUCUCAGUUCGGAUUGUAGGCUGCAACUCGCCUACAUGAAGUCGGAAUCGCUAGUAAUCGCGGAUCAGCAUGCCGCGGUGAAUACGUUCCCGGGCCUUGUACACACCGCCCGUCACACCAUGAGAGUUUGUAACACCCAAAGUCGGUGGGGUAACCU